rnacentral:misc_RNA from 1 species
AACUGAUACUACCUGCGGGAACCUGCGGAAGGAUCAUUACCGAGUUAUCCAACUCCCAACCCCUGUGAAUUAUACCUUUAAUUGUUGCUUCGGCGGGACUUCGCGCCCGCCGGGGACCCAAACCUUCUGAAUUUUUAAUAAGUAUCUUCUGAGUGGUUAAAAAAAUGAAUCAAAACUUUUAACAACGGAUCUCU